GGGCCCGCACAAGCGGUGNAGCAUGUGGUUUAAUUCGAAGCAACGCGCAGAACCUUACCAACCCUUGACAUGGAUAUCGCGGCUCUGGAGACAGAGCUUUCAGUUCGGCUGGAUAUCACACAGGUGCUGCAUGGCUGUCGUCAGCUCGUGUCGUGAGAUGUUCGGUUAAGUCCGGCAACGAGCGCAACCCACGUCCUUAGUUGCCAGCAGGUUACGCUGGGCACUCUAAGGAAACUGCCGAUGAUAAGUUGGAGGAAGGUGUGGAUGACGUCAAGUCCUCAUGGCCCUUACGGGUUGGGCUACACACGUGCUACAAUGGUAGUGACAGUGGGAUAAUCCCAAAAAGCUAUCUCAGUUCGGAUUGGGGUCUGCAACUCGACCCCAUGAAGUCGGAAUCGCUAGNAAUCGCGGAACAGAAUGCCGCGGUGAAUACGUUCCCGGGCCUUGUACACACCGCCCGUCACACCAUGGGAGUUGGGUCUACCCGAAGGUGGUGCGCUAACCCAGCAAUGGGAGGCAGCCAACCACGGUAGGCUCAGCGACUGGGGUG
rnacentral:rRNA from 1 species